AGUGUGUGUAGGAUCCAAUACAGUCAGGUCGUGGAAGGGUCAGGUCAUGCCCUGCCUUGUCCCUGCGUUUUCAAACUGUGGCCUGGCUUUCAGAACAUUCCAGAAGAGCAGUGACUAGGUAUGUGGAAAAUGUUCCGCUAGAAAUUGAUGUCACAGUGACACGCAUCUCAUAGCAAGGAAGACAUUUCGAGAGAGAACUCUAUUAACUGAUAUACCAGUCACACGGCUGUGAUAAUUGCUCUCAUAUAAGAGCACAAGAAGAAUCCUGCUGGAUCAAACCUGACUCUCAUUUCUCCAGCAUCUGUUUUCACAGUGGCCCACAGAGGGGGAGGCUCACAAGGAGGACUUGAGCGCACCAUCACUCUCCCCACCAGUAAGGAGAAUCCAUAGGGACAUUGAAGCUGAUGGACGUCUUUGCCUGUUGUGGGAGCAAAUGCCAUAGUUAACUAUGUGCUGUCUGUAGAAGGACUGUCUUUUGUUCAUCCUGAAUCUCCCAACAUUUGCUUCAUCAGAUGUCCCUGAGUUCUAGCAUUGUGAGAGAAUAACAGCUUCACUCUGCCCACUU